rnacentral:rRNA from 1 species
UACGUAGGGCGCAAGCGUUAUCCGGAAUUAUUGGGCGUAAAGAGCUCGUAGGCGGUUUGUCGCGUCUGCCGUGAAAGUCCGGGGCUCAACUCCGGAUCUGCGGUGGGUACGGGCAGACUAGAGUGCAGUAGGGGAGACUGGAAUUCCUGGUGUAGCGGUGAAAUGCGCAGAUAUCGGGAAGAACACCCGUGGCGAAGGCGGCACUCUGGGACGGUACUGACGCUGAGACGCGAAAGCGUGGGGAGCGAACAGG